rnacentral:rRNA from 1 species
AAGGAUCAUUAACGAGUUUUGAAAGGGGUUGUCGCUGGCCUUUCACGAGGCAUGUGCACACCCUGCUCAUCCACUCUCAACCUCUGUGCACUUAUUGUAGGUCGGUGGAAGGCUCGCAAGAGCUGGAAGCCUGCUUAUGUUUUACUACAAACGCUUCAGUUAUAGAAUGUUUACUUGCGUAUAACGCAUUUAUAUACAACUUUCAGCAACGGAUCUCUUGGCUCUCGCAUCGAUGAAGAACGCAGCGAAAUGCGAUAAGUAAUGUGAAUUGCAGAAUUCAGUGAAUCAUCGAAUCUUUGAACGCACCUUGCGCUCCCUGGUAUUCCGGGGAGCACGCCCGUUUGAGUGUCAUGGUAUUCUCAACCUUCCUCACUUUUGUGACUGGAAGGCUUGGAUGUGGAGGUCGUGCGGGCUCUCGCGAGUCGGCUCCUCUGAAAUGCAUUAGCGUGAACGUUUACGGAUCGCUAUCAGUGUGAUAAUUAUCUGCGCUGUUAGUGUUGAAGUAUUGCUUAGUGUCGCGCUUCUAACCGUCCUUCAGUUGGACAACUUAUCUGACAUCUGGCCUCAAAUCGGGCGGGACUACCCGCUGAACUUAAG